CGCGGCCUAUCAGCUUGUUGGUGAGGUAAUGGCUCACCAAGGCGACGACGGGUAGCCGGCCUGAGAGGGUGACCGGCCACACUGGGACUGAGACACGGCCCAGACUCCUACGGGAGGCAGCAGUGGGGAAUAUUGCACAAUGGGCGCAAGCCUGAUGCAGCGACGCCGCGUGAGGGAUGACGGCCUUCGGGUUGUAAACCUCUUUCAGUAGGGAAGAAGCGAAAGUGACGGUACCUGCAGAAGAAGCACCGGCUAACUACGUGCCAGCAGCCGCGGUAAUACGUAGGGUGCGAGCGUUAUCCGGAAUUAUUGGGCGUAAAGAGCUCGUAGGCGGUUUGUCGCGUCUGUCGUGAAAGUCCGGGGCUUAACCCCGGAUCUGCGGUGGGUACGGGCAGACUAGAGUGCAGUAGGGGAGACUGGAAUUCCUGGUGUAGCGGUGGAAUGCGCAGAUAUCAGGAGGAACACCGAUGGCGAAGGCAGGUCUCUGGGCUGUAACUGACGCUGAGGAGCGAAAGCAUGGGGAGCGAACAGGAUUAGAUACCCUGGUAGUCCAUGCCGUAAACGUUGGGCACUAGGUGUGGGGACCAUUCCACGGUUUCCGCGCCGCAGCUAACGCAUUAAGUGCCCCGCCUGGGGAGUACGG
rnacentral:rRNA from 2 species